UUGUUUUUUCCCUCUUGGCAGGGCAUCCUUGAAAGGAAAAAAUCCUAAAAGUUGGACCCCAAAAACCGGAACUGCUCUUUUUAGUUGAUUCUGGAGCAGAAAAAAACACAGUUCAAUGACUGCCCCCUGGAUGUAUCAAAGAUACUGCUAUACGAACUGCAGAAAAGGGGUGGACACACGCAUCAAGG